rnacentral:rRNA from 1 species
UUGAACGCUGGCGGCAUGCCUUACACAUGCAAGUCGAACGGUAGAGGGGCAACCCUUGAGAGUGGCGAACGGGUGAGUAAUAUAUCGGAACGUGCCCAGUCGUGGGGGAUAACGCAGCGAAAGCUGCGCUAAUACCGCAUACGAUCUAUGGAUGAAAGCGGGGGAUCGCAAGACCUCGCGCGAAUUGGAGCGGCCGAUAUCAGAUUAGGUAGUUGGUGGGGUAAAAGCCCACCAAGCCGACGAUCUGUAGCUG